rnacentral:tRNA from 2 species
GAAAGCCUGUUGAAACUCUCAACAUCUCCUGAAUGCAACCCAAGCACUUUAAUUAAGCUAAGACUUC